rnacentral:rRNA from 1 species
UACGAAGGGGGCUAGCGUUGUUCGGAAUUACUGGGCGUAAAGGGCGCGUAGGCGGACAGUUUAGUCAGAGGUGAAAGCCCAGGGCUCAACCUUGGAAUUGCCUUUGAUACUGGCUGUCUUGAGUUCGGGAGAGGUGAGUGGAAUGCCGAGUGUAGAGGUGAAAUUCGUAGAUAUUCGGCGGAACACCAGUGGCGAAGGCGACUCACUG